GAUGAACGCUAGCGGCAGGCUUAACACAUGCAAGUCGAGGGGUAACAGGGAGCUUGCUCCGCUGACGACCGGCGCACGGGUGCGUAACGCGUAUGCAAUCUACCUUUUACAGGGGGAUAG
rnacentral:rRNA from 1 species